CCUACGGGAGGCAGCAGUGGGGAAUCUUGGACAAUGGGGGGAACUCUGAUCGAGCGACGCCGCGUGAGUGAAGAAGUAUUUCGGUAUGUAAAGCUCUAUCAGCAGGGAAGAAAAUGACGGUACCUGACUAAUAAGCCCCGGCUAACUACGUGCCAACAGCCGCGGUAAUACGUAGGGGGCAAGCGUUAUCCGGAUUUAUUGGGUUAAAAGGUUGCGCAGGCGGGCUGUUAGGCCGGCGGUAAAAAUUCAGGGCUAAACCCUGUCGAGCCGUCGGAACUGGCAGUCUUGGGUGGUCGAGAAGGAUGCGGAAUGCGUGGUGUAGCGGUGAAAUGGAUAGAGAUCACGCAGAACGCCGAUUGCGAAGGCAGCAUACCGGCGCCCAACUGACGCUGAGGCACGAAAGCGUGGGGAUCGAACAGGAUUAGAUACCCCGGUAGU
rnacentral:rRNA from 1 species